AGUGAACGCUGGCGGUAGGCCUAACACAUGCAAGUCGAACGGCAGCACAGUAAGAGCUUGCUCUUACGGGUGGCGAGUGGCGGACGGGUGAGGAAUACAUCGGAAUCUACUUUUUCGUGGGGGAUAACGUAGGGAAACUUACGCUAAUACCGCAUACGACCUACGGGUGAAAGCAGGGGAUCUUCGGACCUUGUGCGAUUGAAUGAGCCGAUGUCGGAUUAGCUAGUUGGCGGGGUAAAGGCCCACCAAGGCGACGAUCCGUAGCUGGUCUGAGAGGAUGAUCGGCCACACUGGAGCUGAGACACGGUCCAGACUCCUACGGGAGGCAGCAGUGGGUAAUAUUGGACAAUGGGCGCAAGCCUGAUCCAGCCAUACCGCGUGGGUGAAGAAGGCCUUCGGGUUGUAAAGCCCUUUUGUUGGGAAAGAAAAGCAGCAGGUUAAUACCCCGCUGUUCUGACGGUACCCAAAGAAUAAGCACCGGCUAACUUCGUG
rnacentral:rRNA from 1 species